rnacentral:rRNA from 1 species
UACGUAGGGAGCGAGCGUUGUCCGGAUUUAUUGGGCGUAAAGAGCGUGUAGGCGGCCUGAAAGGUCAGCUGUGAAAACUCGAGGCUCAACCUCGAGACGUCGGUUGAAACCAUCUGGCUAGAGUCCGGAAGAGGAGUGUGGAAUUCCCGGUGUAGCGGUGAAAUGCGCAGAUAUCGGGAAGAACACCCGUGGCGAAGGCGGCACUCUGGGACGGUACUGACGCUGAGACGCGAAAGCGUGGGGAGCGAACAGG